AACGAACGCUGGCGGCAGGCCUAACACAUGCAAGUCGAACGAGACCUCCGGGUCUAGUGGCGCACGGGGGCGUAACGCGUGGGAACCUGCCGUUAGGUUCGGAAUAACUCCCCGAAAGGGGGGCUAAUACCGGAAAAUGUCUGCGGACCAAAGAUUUAUCGCCUUGGGAUGGGCCCGCGUUGGAUUAGCUAGUUGGUAGGGUAAAAGCCUACCAAGGCGACGAUCCAUAGCUGGUCUGAGAGGAUGAUCAGCCACACUGGGACUGAGACACGGCCCAGACUCCUACGGGAGGCAGCAGUGGGGAAUAUUGGACAAUGGGCGAAAGCCUGAUCCAGCUAUGCCGCGUGAGUGAUGAAGGCCUUAGGGUUGUAAAGCUCUUUUACCCCGGAUGAUACUGACAGUACCGAGAGAAUAAGCUCCGGCUAACUCCGUG
rnacentral:rRNA from 1 species